GCCAAUAGGAACUUGCAGCUUCAUGCAUAUCCUAACUGCCAUACACACGGUCACAUGGCCCUUAUUAUCCAAUAGAAGCUUGUAGGUCCUUCACUCAUAUAGUAACUGCAAAACUGUAAAUACUGUUAA